UACGUAGGGUGCGAGCGUUAAUCGGAAUUACUGGGCGUAAAGCGUGCGCAGGCGGUUAGCCGUGUCCGAUGUGAAAGCCCCGGGCUCAACCUGGGAAUGGCAUUGGAAACUGGCUGGCUGGAGUGUGGCAGAGGGGGGUGGAAUUCCACGUGUAGCAGUGAAGUGCGUAGAGAUGUGGAGGAACACCGAUGGCGAAGGCAGCCCCCUGGGCCAACACUGACGCUCAGGCACGAAAGCGUGGGGAGCAAACAGG
rnacentral:rRNA from 1 species